GCUGUGAUAGCUUAGUGGUUAGAGCAUCAAACGCGCUAUUCGAAGGUCGUAGGUUCGAUUCCUGCUCACGGCA
rnacentral:tRNA from 1 species